GGAUGAAAAUAUGCUUGGGUAUUCAAACACGUCAUGGAUCUGUGAAACGAUGUAAUCAGACAAAGUUUGGAGUUAUCUAUCAUUCUCUUAAACAGCAGUGGCCCAGUCUAAAGCUUUAUCGAAAAAACCUCUUUGGCGUGAUUACAGGAG